AUGAAAUAAAAUUCUGAGUGAAGUUUUGUUAAACACAUUUUGAGGUUCUAUAAUUUUUACGAUUUUCGCCAUAAUUUGAACUUAAAACACUUAUAAAAAACUUCUAGCUUAAGCUUAACUUUGUUUUUACCUUAAGGAUAAGCAUUAAUAAACCUCACAUUAAUUUUUUAUUUAAUUCUGUUUGGUCAAAUAAUUUUAUCCAUAUUAAAACAAAUAAAACUCUAAAAAUGUCAAAUGCUUCUUAUUUUAAAUAACUUUAAAAUCACUCGAAUGUUAUGAAUAUUUUUGAACAGGCUAAUAUAAAUAUUCUGUGAAAAUUUCAGUUUUAUAGUAUUAUUUAGAUGUGUUUUAUUUCCAACAUACCAAUUGAUCUAGUGAAACAAUUAAAAUUCUGAAAGCGGAUUUCA